rnacentral:rRNA from 1 species
AUUGAACGCUGGCGGCAGGCCUAACACAUGCAAGUCGAGCGGAUGAAGAGAGCUUGCUCUCUGAUUCAGCGGCGGACGGGUGAGUAAUGCCUAGGAAUCUGCCUGGUAGUGGGGGACAACGUUUCGAAAGGAACGCUAAUACCGCAUACGUCCUACGGGAGAAAGCAGGGGACCUUCGGGCCUUGCGCUAUCAGAUGAGCCUAGGUCGGAUUAGCUAGUUGGUGAGGUAGUGGCUCACCAAGGCGACGAGCCGUAACUGGUCUGAGAGGAUGAUCAGUCACACUGGAACUGAGACACGGUCCAGACUCCUACGGGAGGCAGCAGUGGGGAAUAUUGGACAAUGGGCGAAAGCCUGAUCCAGCCAUGCCGCGUGUGUGAAGAAGGUCUUCGGAUUGUAAAGCACUUUAAGUUGGGAGGAAGGGCAGUAAGUUAAUACCUUGCUGUUUUGACGUUACCGACAGAAUAAGCACCGGCUAACUCUGUGCCAGCAGCCGCCGUAA